rnacentral:rRNA from 1 species
UACGAAGGGGGCUAGCGUUGCUCGGAAUGACUGGGCGUAAAGGGCGCGUAGGCGGAUGGCACAGUCAGAUGUGAAAUUCCCGGGCUUAACCUGGGGGCUGCAUUUGAUACGUGUUGUCUAGAGUGAGGAAGAGGGUUGUGGAAUUCCCAGUGUAGAGGUGAAAUUCGUAGAUAUUGGGAAGAACACCGGUGGCGAAGGCGGCGAUCUGGGUAGAUACUGACGCUGAGGUGCGAAAGCGUGGGGGAGCAAACAGGG